CCUACGGGUGGCAGCAGUGAGGAAUAUUGGUCAAUGGCCGUAAGCCUGAACCAGCCAAGUCGCGUGAAGGAAGACGGACCUAUGGUUUGUAAACUUCUUUUAUAGGGGAAUAAAGGUAUGCACGUGUGGAUAUUUGCAUGUACUCUAUGAAUAAGCAUCGGCUAACUCCGUGCCAGCAGCCGCGGUAAUACGGAGGAUGCGAGCGUUAUCCGGAUUUAUUGGGUUUAAAGGGUGCGUAGGUUGGUUUUUAAGUCAGCGGUGAAAGUUUGUGGCUCAACCAUAAAAUUGCCGUUGAUACUGGAAGUCUUGAGUGUGUUUGAGGUAGGCGGAAUGCGUGGUGUAGCGGUGAAAUGCAUAGAUAUCACGCAGAACUCCGAUUGCGAAGGCAGCUUACUAAGCCAUAACUGACACUGAAGCACGAAAGCGUGGGGAUCAAACAGGAUUAGAUACCCGGGUAGUC
rnacentral:rRNA from 1 species